rnacentral:rRNA from 1 species
GACGAACGCUGGCGGCGUGCUUAACACAUGCAAGUCGAACGGAAAGGCCCUGCUUUUGUGGGGUGCUCGAGUGGCGAACGGGUGAGUAACACGUGAGUAACCUGCCCUUGACUUUGGGAUAACUUCAGGAAACUGGGGCUAAUACCGGAUAGGAGCUCCUGCUGCAUGGUGGGGGUUGGAAAGUUUCGGCGGUUGGGGAUGGACUCGCGGCUUAUCAGCUUGUUGGUGGGGUAGUGGCUUACCAAGGCUUUGACGGGUAGCCGGCCUGAGAGGGUGACCGGCCACAUUGGGACUGAGAUACGGCCCAGACUCCUACGGGAGGCAGCAGUGGGGAAUAUUGCACAAUGGGCGGAAGCCUAAUGCAGCAACGCCGCGUGCGGGAUGACGGCCUUCGGGUUGUAAACCGCUUUCGCCUGUGACGAAGCGUGAGUGACGGUAAUGGGUAAAGAAGCACCGGCUAACUACGUGCCAGCAGCCGCGGUGAUACGUAGGGUGCGAGCGUUGUCCGGAUUUAUUGGGCGUAAAGGGCUCGUAGGUGGUUGAUCGCGUCGGAAGUGUAAUCUUGGGGCUUAACCCUGAGCGUGCUUUCGAUACGGGUUGACUUGAGGAAGGUAGGGGAGAAUGGAAUUCCUGGUGGAGCGGUGGAAUGCGCAGAUAUCAGGAGGAACACCAGUGGCGAAGGCGGUUCUCUGGGCCUUUCCUGACGCUGAGGAGCGAAAGCGUGGGGAGCGAACAGGCUUAGAUACCCUGGUAGUCCACGCUGUAAACGGUGGGUACUAGGUGUGGGGUCCAUUCCACGGGUUCCGUGCCGUAGCUAACGCUUUAAGUACCCCGCCUGGGGAGUACGGCCGCAAGGCUAAAACUCAAAGGAAUUGACGGGGCCCCGCACAAGCGGCGGAGCAUGCGGAUUAAUUCGAUGCAACGCGUAGAACCUUACCUGGGUUUGACAUGGAUCGGGAGUGCUCAGAGAUGGGUGUGCCUCUUUUGGGGUCGGUUCACAGGUGGUGCAUGGCUGUCGUCAGCUCGUGUCGUGAGAUGUUGGGUUAAGUCCCGCAACGAGCGCAACCCUUGUUCACUGUUGCCAGCACGUUAUGGUGGGGACUCAGUGGAGACCGCCGGGGUCAACUCGGAGGAAGGUGGGGAUGACGUCAAGUCAUCAUGCCCCUUAUGUCCAGGGCUUCACGCAUGCUACAAUGGCUGGUACAGAGAGUGGCGAGCCUGUGAGGGUGAGCGAAUCUCGGAAAGCCGGUCUCAGUUCGGAUUGGGGUCUGCAACUCGACCUCAUGAAGUCGGAGUCGCUAGUAAUCGCAGAUCAGCAACGCUGCGGUGAAUACGUUCCCGGGGCU